GCAAGCGUUAGUUGCGACGCUCGAGUCAGUUCUUUUCUCUCUCUCUUUCUCUCUCUCUCUUUCUCUCUCUGAUGUCAUGAUGUUCUGCGUGCGGAUCUUUUUGAUUUCCUGCCAAUCUUCCUUCGCCAUUAGUUAGCCGGCGCCCAGACACGCUCGGCGCCACAUUGGCCACAGCAGCCACAAUGUAGUUACACGACACCGUUCUCGCAGUUUACAUGGUUACGCAUGUUCGGUUAUGUGUGCGUAAGCGUAUAUGAGGAGUUUUGCGAUUCGAACAUCGCCUACGGAGCACCACCAAUACCAAUUCAGAAAUCUAAUUUUGACCACACUUUUUAAAGCCUAGUUCGGUAUCCUGUUCUCUAUCUUCCAAGCGCAAAAUUGUUGGCCUAGUUUACAUCGUGCACUUGAUACGGAUAUUAACUACUAAUUUUCUAUUGAAUGAUCUUAAUUUCGGUGAUACGUGUAAACAUACAUAUAUACAAUAUGUGUAUUUAAUUUAUUAUUUUGGUGCAUAUUGUACCAAUUUAGUACAUCAUUCUUUGAAUAUAUCACUGAAAUUAAAUUAAUUUAAUAGAAAGUUACUAAUUAGUAUGUGAAUCAAGUGCAUCAUGUAAAUUAGGCAAUUGGGACGUAACACCCUUCCCUUAGUCUGCAUAAUUAUGAC